GUCUUUUCCAAUUAGCAGCAACUUAAUUGAGACUACCUCAAAAGAAGAAUUUAACAUUUAUUUUUGUAGGAAAAAAGCAAUUUUAAAAUAGCCUGGGAAAACUUAGGUAAGUUUUCCUUAAUCCUGACUCCUAAUUUGUGGCUAGAAGUGGCAAUGAUAUGAACAUAAGUUGUGCUAUUUGUUAAUAUAUUGCUUUUCAUAAAUCAAUCCCUUUUUUGUAAUUAGGUAAAAAGAGAAGAGAAAGACAUUCUUGAUUUUGGUGACUAGAGUUGUAGAUGCUGGAAGCUUUGCCGCUAACAUUGAUGAACCAGAUGCAUGUCACCAGCCCAUCACAGGCACCAUGGCCCGGCACUGCCACGUUUUCCAAGGAACCUGCCAGAGCUCCUGCGGAAGCUGCUCCUCGGGCGAUGGAGUCCCUUCGCUGGUAGGCCCUUCUUCAGUCACCACAGGAUGCCUGCCAUUCAUGAACAGGAAGGAGAGGACGGGCUUUGAAUAAAAAACAGGAUCCAGGAAAUAUUUGUGAGGCCAUUUGGACUUCAGUGUGAAAUGGUGUUAAAAGAUGAAGUCAUUUAUUCAAGAAGUAAACAUCUGCCACCUGAACUGUGCUCAGACAUUUCAUUGAUUUUGUUUAAUAAACAUUUCCUGGCUUUGGGAGGUGUCUCUCUUGGUAGAACACAGUGUCAAAGAUGGACAAGAUGGACACAUAGUCCAUUAUUUGGUAUUGUUUGUGUAUGGUAGCAGACCACAAAUUAAUGUUUGGAGAACAAUUUUGUCAUAACACACUGUUGAGGCUCAGUUGUACAGAACUGGAAAAGUCUUCAGCUUGGCACAUGUCCUGAUUCAGCCUUUGUUUAACAUAUAUUCCAAUCCGGAUUCUAUCUUCACUGGCUACAAAGACCACCUGAUACGUGCACCACGACACAGGAGCUGCUGGAGAGGGGGUAGUGCUAUCACCUCAAACUCACGGCCAUAUUUUUCAAAAGCCAGCUUAGAGAGAGGUGUACUGAUAGCUGCAUAGAGAACAUGCAGUCCAUCCAUUCUUCCCAGUGAUGUACAUUUCUCAAUCAGUAACCACGUGGUAUACCAACCUUGAGUGUCACAUCUCCCAACCAUAUCAAAUGGAUCACCUAACUGGAGGUGGGGGGCGGCCCUCAGAAAUGAGAUUUCGUAUUUACUGUAAAAUUGCAUUAUUUUUUCUUUUGAGGUGGAGUCUCACUCUGUUGCCUGGGCUGGAGUGCAAUGGUGUGAUCACUGCUCACUGCAACCUCCGCCUCCUGGGUUCAAGCAGUUCUCCUGCCUCAGCCUCCCAAGUAGCUGCAAUUACAGGCGCAUGCCACCACUCCCAGCAAAUUUCUAUAUUUUUAGUGGAGACAGGGUUUCACCAUGUUGGCCAGGCUGGUCUCAAACUCCUGACCUCAGGUGAUCUGCCCACCUUGGCCUCCCAAAGUUCUGGGAUUAAAGGUACGAGCCACCGCAACUGGCUGAGAAUCUUUUUAUUUGCUGAUUUGUCUCUUGUGUAUUUUCUUUGUUCAGAUGUCUCUUCGGAUCUUUUUCUCACUUUUAAAUUGUUUUUUAAUUGUUAAGAAUUUUCUGUCUAGUUUAGAUAUAAGCCCUUUAUCAGACAUGUGUUUUGCAAAUAUUUUCUCCUAGUCUGUGGCUUGUAUUCUGUCUCUUAACACUCAUUUUAUUUUUACUUUUGGAACUAAAGAAGAAGAAUGGUCAGCUUUCCGUUAUUCUUGUAACAGUAAUGGCAGAACCAAGUCUGCUAAUGCUACAUUGAGCAAAGAAAGUCACCUGGUCAAGUCCAACAUUAAUGAAAUGGGGUAGUACAUGCAGGCGGCAUUGGGGGUGGGGAGGGAACAAAUGCUUCUUGAGAGUAAUAUAAUCUGCCAUACCAUCCAGGAACCUACAAUGGCUAUCUAUUACCUUAUUCUCUGGUUUGUUUAAUGUUCGAAUCUUUCCGAAAGAUCCUUCAACCUUUCUGGAAGAAUCUAAUCUGAUAACACCAUCAAAAACACAUUACUUCUUUUGGCAUAAUUUAAAUUGUAAGACAUCAUUCACAUUUAUCAAUGUUACAUAUAUAAGAACUCACCCACCAUAAUCCUCCUUGAGGAAUCACAGCAUGUAAUUCUAUAACCAUUUUUAUAAUCGUCUAACAAUUUUAUAAUGGAUUGGUUGCUUACUAUCAAUUUUUUAAAAGUCAUGGCUUCUCCAGUCAUUUCUUGCUUAUCAAAAUUAUUUCAUGAGAUGGGUCUAUCCUUGUAUAUUUGAAAAUGAGGUUUGCUUCCUUCUACUUAAAAAACAACUUGAACAUACCUAUUUGGAUCGCAUGGUCUUGUCCUGAUAACUUAGAAGAGGUUGCUUCAGCAUUGUUCUUAUUGUUGCGGUGGUGAUUAUUAACAUUGUUUCAUAUUCCAUUUAAAAAAUUAAAAUUUUACACGAGACCAAUGUCUUCUUUUCAAUUCCAGUACAGUCUUCAGAAGUAACUAAUGCUAUUGGCUUUGUGCAUUGUAAUUUCAGACCAUUGUAUAUGUCUUUAGUUAUAUGUACAGUAUACACACAUAUGUGUCAUAUUAUUCCAUUUUUUCUAGCAUUAAACAUUG
rnacentral:lncRNA from 1 species